AUUAAGUCCAUGGAAGGUUCUCAGGGGGUGCCUUCCCGGAGCAAAAUAUGCAUGUAACAAAUAUCAGCCAUCAUUAUUUCUACUAAAGCACUGAAAGAAACACAACUAAAAGACCUAAAACACAGAUUUAUAUUUUAUAGUGAUUUUGGGGGGGCAUGCCAUAGGAAAUGAUUUGAUAUCUGUAGAUUUUAAAGUCAAAAUGUUUCAUGGCUAAUUGAGAAAAAUCUUGGGCUCUUUAAGAUUAGUGUGAGGUUUAGAGACAAUAAAUGUAAAGCAUGUGACAUAGUGCCUGACAAAUACUCAGUAAGUUGUAGGAGGUGCUAUUAUUACCAAUGUCAUCAUGAUUCAUACAUUUCUUUUCUCUCCACUUUGGCUUGACAUGUGGAUACAUGAGGCUGGUAGGAAGAAGUCACCCAUGACUAUCUGGAACAACAUGGUGGGGAAGGCCAAGUUUCUGUGGUGACGUGUGGCAAAUGGAUUGUAAAUGAAGAUAGACUGUGUAAUGAAUGACGACACUAAAGACUAAUGUGAAGGACUUUAGGGAAAACAAAAGGCUUUCAUCUGAAAGGAUCAUCUGUGGACCAAGGUCACUCUCCAUCUUUUCCGCCAGUGCCCAACGGACUGAUCUUUACAGAUGGUGUCAACAGAUGCAUCUACCCUCUGGCUUCAAGUUGAGUUGGCCAAUGAAGGGAGGCGCUGCGGAAAGCACAUGACAUUUGCAGUUGUGGGCGACUGUGCUGUGGGAUGAAACCAGGCUCCUCAUCAAGAUGAACAUAGAUUCAAGUCUCCAUCUUAGCCAUUUCCUAGAUCUGUGAUUAUAAAUAAACUCCCUGACUUUUCUGA